rnacentral:pre_miRNA from 1 species
UGGAAGUAUAGUUUUAUACUAUUCAUAUCCAAUGUUUGACUUAUUUAAAAAAUUUUAUGAUUAAUAUUUUUAUUGUUAUUAGAUGAUAAAACAUGAAUAUUACUUUAUGUGUGACUAAUUUUUUUGAAAAAAAUCAUAAAAUUUCCAAAUAAGAUGGACGGUCAAACAUUGGAUACGCAUACCAACGCUGUACUUAUU